ensembl:lncRNA
AGUAUUAUCAAUAAUUAUUCGAUGAUUGUGUUGUACAAUAAAACACAGUAAAGAUUCAAUAUGAAUGGCAAAAUAAAGAAUAAGAAUAAAAUAUGUGUUGGGCAAAUUAUAGAGAAGCUGAGAUUAUAGAUUUCAUAUCAAAAGGUGAAGGGGUGAAAAAAUUUAAGAAAUAUAUUUAAGAAAUAUAGGCCUACUCAAAGCCCAAAUCAUUGAUAUCAUAACCUAUCCAAUAUUAAAGAAAUUUGAAUUUGAAUGGUAACAAUUCCGUCUGGUGUUAAAUCCUCGUUCUCGUUUUGAACGUCUCACUCAUGGCCGAUCACAGUGUGUUCUUUCUGAUUAGCUCUUAUUGAGAUCACCUGUCACGCACCCCUUUAUUAAAGGUGAACACAAUGGGUUUGGUUUACUUUGCAUCGGCCUGUGUCAAUCGAGGUUGAGUUUAGGGAGUGUUGAACGUUUUCGAUCUAGAUAGCAGAUCACUAUUGUCACUUUAUACAAACUGGAAGCAUGCGUUGUUGCGUGUUUGUUUUUGUGGGCAUUUGACUGAGCAGCCCAGACCAAUAUUGCUACCAGCAUGGCACUUCGAAACAGACCACCGCAGUGUUAGAUGACUGACUGACAAGAUCUAUGGGGGGGCCCCCUUUGGGCCCCCCCAUACCAACUUAGUCUUCAAAGGAAUCUAGUGCCAUGGGACUCCAGUGUCUUCAAAACAUCCUCGGAAAACAUGUGUAUGAAUGGUCCACCGAAGGGUUGAUCUGGAAGCCACCACGGUCCAUGCAGUAAUCUGCUGCGUGGGCCGUAGUGGCUUCCAGAGCCAUCUUUCGGUCUUGGUAAGGAUUUGUUACAAUUGCCCUUCAAUGUAGCAGGCUACGUGUUUCUGAAGAAGCCUGCUUUACGUAGCAUUGGAGUACAAAUAUUGUGCAAAAUGCUCAUGUAAUUGCACUAGCACUAGUAACCUGUAGAUUAGCUUAGUUUAACGUCAUUCCGUGCUGUCUCUGUCAAAUGUGUGGCUUACUUUAAGUCCACAAGGCCCUCUGGUAAACCACGUUGGAACACCCCUGGACAAGGUGAUUAGUCACUGGGUGUGUGCUAAAGUUUUGUUCCAUUUUUCACUAGUUGGUUAAGGUUUGGUAGAAUUGUUUGGAUGCUAGCGACGUGAUGCGUAUGUACAAGAGCCUACCGUGGCCAGGCCACAGUUGCGACGGUCACGGCCAGAUGGCCUAGUGUGAGUGCAACCUUGAUUGCAUUUGUAUACUGUUUACCAUUGGAUGUUUAUGCAAUUUGGCUUAAUUCAUCCGCAGUAAAGCUGCAUUUGACUAUUCCAGGGUCGUUUUGUACAGGCUUUCAAUUUACCAUGUGGGAAGUUUUUUUUUUUUUUUACUCUUGCUUACAAUCCAACGGUUGUGACCACUUAUGCACCUGGGCUGUGAACCUUGCAAUUCUAGUUGAAUAUUUGUACACGCAAGCUUGUCCAUUUCUAUCGCCAACACUAGCUUCAGCAUUUCCUUGUAGGCCAUUAGCUGACUUGUGUAUUGGAGCGAUGAUUUGGGUAUUUUAAGAUGCUUGAAAACCUAAAAUAAAGCAAAAUGCGUGUCUGGUGUGCAAGAGCCAAUUUGUUGGCUUGCAGUAGUCGAGGAGUUGCCGUCGUAAGCCAUCUGGAGGUUGUGGCAAUGGAGGCUUGUGGUAGAUCUGCCAUCCAAUAAAGGUUAAUUCUUCUGAAGCAUGAUUAAUAGUUUAGUAAAUUGAAUCUAUUCAUAUAGAACUAUAAAAUCCAGGACUGCAGCCAGUCACUUGGAUCGCAAUAUGUGGAAAGUAUUAGUCUUCAUUUGGAACAACAGAAUAAUUAACAUGACUAACUGGGUUUCUUGCUACAAAAGUCUAUUCAAAUCGGCUAAAUAUAAUGAACUAAAUGAAUAGCCAUGAAAUGUUGUCACUCAUACUAAUGGCAAAUACCCUCUUUCAGUUGGUGGUUCAACACUGAUGUCUCUCUAGGCUUGAGGGAGAGCUCACAAGUAAAUUACACGAAUGUCCUGGAGCAAUUGGGAAUACACUUUUAUUCAGUCUACCUGACCAGGGACAUCUUUGAACUAUAGGUCACCUAACCCAAACUUUUCACUCUUGUUAGGUUGUCCUUUUCUCUUGUUUUAACCCCGAAAGGGCUGAAAUAUCAACAUUUCAGGUAUUCUGUUUGGAUAAUGUGCAAAACUUGUGGCUUCACUAAUAAAAAAAAAUAACAAAUGUAUUUUUCUUAAUGUGGCUAAACUAUUUAAAGAUUUGUAUGCAAAAUAUUUCUGCUCAAUUUGUGGUCAAUGAAACUCUGAAAUUUUUUAAUUUGAUAAAACACAACUAUGGGUUAAAGGUAUAUGCUUUGGGCAUCUUUUGAUAUUUUUAGAAUCUAGCUCCAUUGCCGUUAGAAAUGGUGUCUCCCAGUACUGCGAAGUGCUUCCACAAGUUUAAAAAAAUGGGCAGAAAAGGAACUGCCAACUAAAUCUAUUUAACAUGGGUAGAAAGUUUCCAUGGAAGCUCUUGGCUGCUGGUUCCCAACACGGCUCCACUGUUAGCCUGUGACCUUGCGUUUAACUUUUUUCGACUUUUGGUGACUUUCACAAAAGAGAAAUGAACUGGUUAAUUCAAUAAACAAGACAUUUCAUGGUACCAUUUUGAACUGUUUGUGGAUAUUGCAUUAAAUCCAUAUGCUUGAAACUUUUCAAUAAUGCAUAUCAACGAAACAAUCGAAUAAAAUAAAUAGUUCAAGCAAUUU